GAUGAACGCUGGCGGCGUGCCUAAUACAUGCAAGUCGAACGAGGUCCUUGCCUUCGGGUGAGGUCCUAGUGGCGAACGGGUGAGUAACACGUUGGUGACCUGCCCCGAAGAGGGGGACAACCCCGGGAAACUGGGGCUAAUACCCCAUGUGAUCCAGAGAGUUAGAGGUCUUUGGAUGAAAUGGAGCAAUCCGCUUCGGGAGGGGCCUGCGGCCUAUCAGCUAGUUGGUAGGGUAACGGCCUACCAAGGCGACGACGGGUAGGGGGCCUGAGAGGGUGAUCCCCCACACUGGAACUGAAACACGGACCAGACACCUACGGGUGGCAGCAGUAGGGAAUAUUGCCCAAUGGACGAAAGUCUGAGGCAGCAACGCCGCGUGCGCGAUGAAGGCCUU
rnacentral:rRNA from 1 species